rnacentral:rRNA from 1 species
AUUGAACGCUGGCGGCAGGCCUAACACAUGCAAGUCGAACGAGUGGCGGACGGGUGAGUAAUGUCUGGGAAUCUGCCCGAUGGAGGGGGAUAACUACUGGAAACGGUGGCUAAUACCGCAUACCAUCAGAUGUGCCCAGAUGGGAUUAGCUUGUGGGUGGGGUAACGGCUCACCAAGGCGACGAUCCCUAGCUGGUCUGAGAGGAUGACCAGCAAAACUGGAACUGAGACACGGCCCAGACUCCUACGGGAGGCAGCAGUGGGGAAUAUUGCACAAUGGGCGCAAGCCUGAUGCAGCCAUGCCGCGUGUAUGAAGAAGGCCUUAGGGUUGUAAAGUACUUUCAGCGGGGAGGCGUUACCCGCAGAAGAAGCACCGGCUAACUCCGUGCCAGCAGCCGCGGUAAUUC